rnacentral:tRNA from 2 species
GGCGAUGUGGCCGAGUGGUUGAGGCAAGGGCCUGCAAAGCCCUCCACCUGGGUUCGAUUCCCAGCAUCGCCUCCA